CUCCAAUUUUAGUUUAUAAAUCCUGUUGCCUUCAAAUCAAAUCAAAUCAAAUCAGUUUAUUUUCAUCUCAAGGAUGAGGGCAGGCUCGGGAUACAAGU
rnacentral:lncRNA from 1 species